UACACACAAAAAACCCCACAAAUUCACAAAAAACUUCCUGCACAAACAGACAUGAAACUACCACUGUUCUUCUUUCUCAUCUUGCAGGUGAUGGACGGUUGAAAGGACGAAUAACCAAGACGAACAAGACGAGCAAAACAAUGGAGACGAGCCGCCACAGGAGCCUGAAGGGAAAGUGUGAGUAUCUUUCACCUGUACUUUACGAGGGGGAUCAAACAUGGCUGAUAUAUCUGCAGAAUACUGAUGGUCACUGUUUCUCCAGAACAAGGGAACCAGUUGGUGCUCGGCCCGGGACAGGAAGGCUCUGCAGCGGGUGAUCCAUCCAUCCACAGAACAUCAGUGACAGAGGAGAGGUCCUUCUGCAGGCGCCCUGCUGUGCAUAUUUGUCAACCGAGUCCGACGUGUUCGGGGAGCAGCCGGAGCUGCUUUUUCUCAAGGCAGGUGGGAAAAUACGGUUUUUAGGGUAUAUGAUGACUUAAUAAGCAGUUUGCAGUAUGUUUUAUGUAUGGCCGUAUGUAUUAUUUAAACUGCAGCUCGUGUGGUGUAAAGUCAGCAGAAAAUCCUCAUUCACGGCUGAAGCUACCGCCUGAGCUCAUGUUUAGUUGUUUUUCUGGAUUUGUGGGGUUGUACGCAACAUUUUACUGAAAAAAAAUACACAUUCUGGAAGGUUUCCAGUAUUUCUAGACCCUUAUGUGACUACUUUUACCAAACUGUUGUUCCUGGAAGUGUGGAGAAAGCUUUAAAGCGACAUGUUGGUGAAAAAAACAGGCACAUUCAGUAAUUUCCUACAAGUUCGCCAUGUAAUCUGUAAGUUAGCAUCGACAAAAACUGUGCUCGAUUAAAAGUCCUGUCACUCUUCAAAAAUUGAUGAUGAAAAAGUGAUUCUUUAUUAAUUGCCGGCUGUGUUCAUCAGUUCACUUGUGUUUGAAACAUAUCGGUCACGUCCACCUGAAAGAAAAGUCGUUCAUGUGCAUAAUUUGGUCUCAAUUUAUCAUUCUACAUCAGUGUGACCAGUUACAUGAACACGCUUGCAGACUGUUAUCUUGAAAUAUUAACAUGAGAGCAGGAGCAGAGGUAGUUUUGACGUUUCUCUGAUGUUCUGCUGAUUUCAUAAGACCGCUGCACUGUUAAUUCAUCUGUUAAAACAGGCGGUGAGCUCUUUUUUCUCCUGCACCUUUGGCCACUAUGCUGCAAUUUAUAUUUUAAAAAGCUACUCAAGCAGGCUACUGAGUGUGCAUAGGUAACAUAGAGACAAAACUGGAGUUGACUUCCAGUUAAAUUUAAACACACACAUGCAAAAAAGACUCCUUUUCAGGUAAAAAUAGAAAUAGUAAAAGAUAUUUGGAUAUGUCUGAGGGGGAGGGACUCAUGGGUGACCUACGACCCUGCUGUCAGCCAAUCUCUGAACUGCAGACGCAUAAAUUCCAAUCAAUGAUUGGAUCCCUGCAUCCAAACGGCGGUGUGAAUGGGGCUGCUGUGUGAGAGGGACAGGAGAUUCCCUUUCUCCUCGGGUGGUGGGGGGGUUUUAGGGUCAGGAAG
rnacentral:lncRNA from 1 species